AGUGCUAGAAUGUUUGCUUAAUGUGCAUUUCUGGGUUCCAUCUCCAGCAUCACCAGAGGAAGAGGAGGAGGAAGAGGAAAGAGGAGGAGGAGACACUCAGAAUGAGACUGGGCACGGUGAUCACCCACGGCAUGAAUGUGGCUAACUGUUCCUCAGUCACCGGCAGCUUCCACUAUCAAGUUCUUGUAGACCACAAUGCUUUGUGUGACAAAAUAUUUUUUUUGGUACCAAAAUUCUUUAUUUAUAGAAAUGGCACAAAUUAAAGAAAUUAAGCGGA